rnacentral:rRNA from 1 species
UACGUAGGGUGCGAGCGUUAAUCGGAAUUACUGGGCGUAAAGGGCGUGUAGGUGGUUGCGUAAGUCUGGCGUGAAAUUUUUCGGCUUAACCGGGAAAGGUCGUCGGAUACUGCGUAGCUAGAGGACGGUAGAGGCGUGUGGAAUUCCGGGUGUAGUGGUGAAAUGCGUAGAGAUCCGGAGGAACACCAGUGGCGAAGGCGACACGCUGGGCCGUACCUGACACUGAUGCGCGACAGCAUGGGGAGCAAACAGG